rnacentral:rRNA from 1 species
UACGGGGGGGGCAAGCGUUGUUCGGAAUUACUGGGCGUAAAGGGCCAGUAGGCGGCCAACUAAGUCCGACGUGAAAUCCCAAGGCUUAACCUUGGAACUGCGUCGGAUACUGGAUGGCUUGAAUUCGGGAGAGGGAUGCAGAAUUCCAGGUGUAGCGGUGAAAUGCGCAGAUAUCAGGAGGAACACCAAUGGCGAAGGCAGCACUCUGGGACGUGACUGACGCUGAGACGCGAAAGCGUGGGGAGCAAACAGG